AUAAUAUUAAAAUAUUAAAAAAAUAAAAAAACUAUUUAUCUUAUUAUUUUAAUAUAUAUUUUACAAAAAAUUGAAAAAUUAAUAUUUAUUUUUACAAAGAAUAUAAUUCUUUCCUUUUGUAUCAGGAAAUUUCAAAUAUUUUAAUAUAAAAUAUUUUUCCCGAAAAUAUAUGAUCUAUUAUUUUUUAAAAUUAAUGUUUCAUAAUUAUAAUUAAAUUAAUAAUAGUUAUUAAACGUUAUCCGAAUAUAUUUAUAUCUGGUUUUCUAUAAAGAAAAAAAAUUCUAUUAAUAUAUUAUAUAAUAAUAUAUAAUAUAAUUAUUUCCAUUAAUAAUAAUUCUUAAUUUAGAAAUAAUAGUGUUCACAUAGUACAAAAACUAAUCUAAUAAAAAAUUUUAUAAAAAAUAAUAGAAAUAUUUUAUUAAAUAUUAAUAAUGAUAUUAUUAGUAGAUCAAUUAACUUUUUUACUUAAAUUCAUCCAAAAUUAGAUGAUUGUUUAACAAAAACAUUUCUAUUAGAUUUUAUUAAUAGUAUGAUCUGCUCAAUGAAAUUUUAAAUAGCCGCUAUUAGUGCUAAGGUAGCAUAAUCAUUUGUCUUUUAAAUGAAGACUAGAACAAAAGAUUUUACAUUUUAAUUAAUAUAACUUAAAUAUUUAUCUAAAUUAUAAUAAAUGUUAAAAUACAUUUAUAUUAUAGAGAGACGAUAAGACCCUAUUGAACUUAACUAAUGUUAUACUGGGGUAGUAUAUUAAUUAUUAUUUUAAAAUAAUUAAAUAUCCAAUUAUCUAAUAAAAUUAAAUAAACUAGUUACCAUAGGGAUAACAGCAUAAUAAUUUUAAUAAUAUAAAAAUUUAUUAAAAAACAGAUUAUGACCUCGAUGUUGAAUUAAUAUCCUAAAUUUUAACAAAACCUAAAAGGAGGUCUGUUCGACCUUUAAAAAAUUACAUGAUUUGAGUUCAGACCGGUAUAAGCCAGGUCGGUUUCUAUCUUCUAAAUAUUUUUUAUACAGUACGAAAGGACCUACAAAUUUAAUUUAAUUAA
rnacentral:rRNA from 1 species